GGAAACGAGAGCGGUGGAUCGAGGAAGUAACAGAAUUGGGCAUGUUAAUAAGGUUCAGUAUGUGAAGAGGGAUAUUAAGAAGAGGAAAUGUAGAAAGAUCAAACGGUCUGUUCCCGUAGUCCCUAUGGCGCUUCAGGAACUGUUUGUUUCUUGCAGGGAAGUCUUCAAAGGCCCUGGAACCGUUCCACUGCCUUGUGAUGUUGAAAAGCUCUGCUGCAUUCUUGAUAAUAUGAAGGCAGAAGAUGUUGGACUUAGUAGUAGUUUGCAGUUUUUCAAGCCCAAUGUUCCAGUCAAAGGAACCCCUAGAGUAACAUACACAGCAAUAUACAAGUGCGACAAUUUCUCGUUGUGCAUCUUCUUCCUCCCAGCAACUGGUGUAAUUCCUCUACACAACCAUCCAGGAAUGACUGUUUUCAGUAAGCUUCUGUUGGGGAAAAUGCACAUCAAAUCGUACGAUUGGGUUGAUCCAACCGACAGUGAUGAUCCUGCUCAACCUUGUAAAAGGAGAUUGGCAAAGCUGAAAGCUGAUACUGUCUUCACUUCACCCUGCAGUACCUCUGUUUUGUACCCAACAUCAG
rnacentral:misc_RNA from 1 species